GACGAACGCUGGCGGCGUGCCUAAUACAUGCAAGUCGAGCGCAGGAAAUCAUCCGAACCCUUCGGGGGGACGUUGAUGGAAUGAGCGGCGGACGGGUGAGUAACACGUAAAGAACCUGCCCUCAGGUCUGGGAUAACCACGAGAAAUCGGGGCUAAUACCGGAUGGGUCAUCGGACCGAAUGGUCCGAUGAUGAAAGGCGCUUCGGCGUCGCCUGGGGAUGGCUUUGCGGUGCAUUAGCUAGUUGGGGGGGUAAUGGCCCACCAAGGCGACGAUGCAUAGCCGACCUGAGAGGGUGGUCGGCCACACUGGGACUGGGACACGGCCCAGACUCCUACGGGAGGCAGCAGUAGGGAAUCUUCCACAAUGGACGAAAGUCUGAUGGAGCAACGCCGCGUGAACGAUGAAGGCCUUCGGGUCGUAAAGUUCUGUUGUAAGGGAAGAACAAGUGCCGCAGGCAAUGGCGGCACCUUGACGGUACCUUGCGAGAAAGCCACGGCUAACUACGUGCCAGCCGCCGCAGUAA
rnacentral:rRNA from 1 species